rnacentral:rRNA from 1 species
AUAGAACGCUAGCGGGAUGCCUUACACAUGCAAGUCGAACGGCAGCGCGGACUUCGGUCUGGCGGCGAGUGGCGAACGGGUGAGUAAUGUAUCGGAACGUGCCCAGUAGCGGGGGAUAACUACUCGAAAGAGUAGCUAAUACCGCAUACGCCCUACGGGGGAAAGGGGGGGAUCGCAAGACCUCUCCCUAUUGGAGCGGCCGAUGUCGGAUUAGGUAGUUGGUGAGGUAAAGGCUCACCAAGGCGACGAUCCGUAGCUGGUGUGAGAGGACGACCCGCCACACUGGGACUGGGACACGGCCGAGACUCCUACGGGAGGCAGCAGUGGGGAAUUUUGGACAAUGGGGGAAACCCAGAUCCAGCAAUGCCGCGUGUGUGAAGAAGGCCUUCGGGUUGUAAAGCACUUUCAGUUGGGAGGAAGGGGUGAGCAUUAAUACUGUUCAUCAUUGACGUUACCGACAGAAGAAGCACCGGCUAACUCUGUGCCAGCCGCCGCAGUAA